rnacentral:rRNA from 1 species
AUACGGAGGGUGCAAGCGUUACUCGGAAUCACUGGGCGUAGAGCGCGCGCAGGCGGCUUGAUAAGUUGGAUGUGAAAGCCUACGGCUCAACCGUAGAACUGCAUCCAAAACUGUCAGGCUAGAGUGUGGGAGAGGAAGAUGGAAUUAGUUGUGUAGGGGUAAAAUCCGUAGAGAUAACUAGGAAUACCAAAAGCGAAGGCAAUCUUCUGGAACACUACUGACGCUGAGGCGCGAAGGCGUGGGGAGCAAACAGGAUUAGAAACCCCAGUAGUCC